CCUACGGGAGGCAGCAGUGGGGAAUAUUGCACAAUGGGGGAAACCCUGAUGCAGCGACGCCGCGUGAGUGAAGGAGUAAUUCGGUAUGUAAAGCUCUAUCAGCAGGGAAGAAAAUGACGGUACCUGAGUAAGAAGCCCCGGCUAACUACGUGCCAGCAGCCGCGGUAAUACGUAGGGGGCAAGCGUUAUCCGGAUUUACUGGGUGUAAAGGGAGCGUAGACGGCAGUGCAAGUCUGGAGUGAAAGGCGGGGGCUCAACCCCCGGACUGCUCUGGAAACUGUACGGCUGGAGUGCAGGAGAGGUAAGUGGAAUUCCUAGUGUAGCGGUGAAAUGCGUAGAUAUUAGGAGGAACACCAGUGGCGAAGGCGGCUUACUGGACUGUAACUGACGUUGAGGCUCGAAAGCGUGGGGAGCAAACAGGAUUAGAUACCCCUGUAGUC
rnacentral:rRNA from 1 species